UGGGGAAUAUUGCACAAUGGGCGCAAGCCUGAUGCAGCCAUGCCGCGUGUAUGAAGAAGGCCUUCGGGUUGUAAAGUACUUUCAGCGGGGAAGAAGGGAGUAAAGUUAAUACCUUUGCUCAUUGACGUUACCCGCAGAAGAAGCACCGGCUAACUCCGUGCCAGCAGCCGCGGUAAUACGGAGGGUGCAAGCGUUAAUCGGAAUUACUGGGCGUAAAGCGCACGCAGGCGGUUGAUUGAGUCAGAUGUGAAAUCCCCGGGCUUAACCCGGGAAUUGCAUCUGAUACUGGUCAGCUAGAGUCUUGUAGAGGGGGGUAGAAUUCCAGGUGUAGCGGUGAAAUGCGUAGAGAUCUGGAGGAAUACCGGUGGCGAAGGCGGCCCCCUGGACAAAGACUGACGCUCAGGUGCGAAAGCGUGGGGAGCAAACAGG
rnacentral:rRNA from 1 species